AGCGAACGCUGGCGGCGUGCCUAACACAUGCAAGUCGAACGUGAAAAGGGAAACCUGAGUAAAGUGGCGUACGGGUGAGUCACGCGUAGGUAAUCUACCCCAGAAUCUGGAAUAACCUGCCGAAAGGCGGGCUAAUACUGGAUAGAGCGAGGGAACUCGUAAGAGAGUUUUUCGGGAAAGGGAGCCCGCAAGGGCCUUCGUUCUGGGAUGAGCCUGCGUCUCAUUAGCUAGUUGGUAAGGUAACGGCUUACCAAGGCGAUGAUGAGUAGCUGGUCUGAGAGGAUGAUCAGCCACACUGGAACUGAAACACGGUCCAGACUCCUACGGGAGGCAGCAGUGGGGAAUCUUGCGCAAUGGACGAAAGGCUGACGCAGCCACGCCGCGUGAGUGAAGAAGGCCUUCGGGUUGUAAAGCUCUGUCGGAUGGGACGAACAUCUUCAUAGUGAAUAGCUAUGAGGACUGACGGUACCAUCAAAGGAAGCACCGGCUAACUCCGUG
rnacentral:rRNA from 1 species